UCUCAGGAACAGAACUGCACCAUUCAAUGACAAAGAAUUUCAAAAUUAAUGACCAAGCAUGGUGUGCAGAGCAGGGAUGCUGCAGUCCCAUUGCAAGGUUUCUAGUCUAAGACCCAGCACUCCUGCACAGCCUGCAGAAACAAACAGAUCCCCACCACCCAGCUGCGAGCCCAGGCAACAUUGCCCUCGCUUCCAACACUCUGACCCAUGUGCCAGCAAUCUCUAGAGCUGCUUGGAUGGCUUUCACUCCUGCAAAGUGACCAACUCACCAUCUCCUUCCAUGGCUUCAAAGACUCAAUAGACUGCUUGGGUUUUUCCUCCCCAAACACUAAACAUCUUCUUUGACCAGGAUACAAUCACCUUUGUUGAAAAUGCCGCAUCAGCCAAUCUUCUGGAACAACACGCACCAGGAAGCUGUGAGGAAAGGAGUGUGUGUAAGCAAUCCACUGUCUGUUUUGUGAAAAGAAUGAGGUCAUGCAAUGUCCCAGGGAGGCUCCAAAUGCAUAAGUGAUUUACCUUGUCUAUCUCCAGAUGACCAGCCAGCCACGAACACCCUUCUCAUGAAGCGCAUGUCUGGAGAAAAUAAAAGGGAAAAUCUCAUGAGAUGAGAAAAAGACAGGGACAUCAGUCAAUAAUUGUCACCAUGGGCAAACUAGACUAAAUUCAGAGAAAGUUACUUUAGUUUAUUGUCUGCUAAAGCAGAUUUAAAAGUGGACCUUUUUGCAUCUCAGGGACAUGUGUCAUCAUGGUCAAUCUGGCUCAGGGAACACAGGACAAUCACAGCUUUUCAAG